AGUGACAAGAAAUAACAAUACAGGACUUUUUGGUUUUGUAAUUGGAAUGAGUUAAGUAUAAACCCCUUUACAAGUAUCAAUUGGAGGGCAAGUCUGGUGCCAGCAGCCGCGGUAAUUCCAGCUCCAAUAGCGUAUAUUAAAGUUGUUGCAGUUAAAAAGCUCGUAGUUGGAUUUCUGUUAAUAAUUUAUAUAAAAUAUUUUGAUGAAUAUUUAUAUAAUAUUAACAUAAUUCAUAUUACUAUUUUUUUUUUUAGUAUAUGAAAUUUUACUUUGAGAAAAUUAGAGUGCUUAAAGCAGG
rnacentral:rRNA from 1 species